rnacentral:rRNA from 1 species
CAAUAGCGUAUAUUAAAGUUGUUGCAGUUAAAAAGCUCGUAGUUGGAUUUGUGGCUGUCACGGGCGGCCUAUCACUUAGCGUUAGUGCUUGCCUGUGUCGCCAUCCUUGGGUGGAGCCCGUGUGGCAUUAGGUUGUCGUGCGGGGGAUGCCCAUCGUUUACUGUGAGAAAAUUAGAGUGUUCAAAGCAGGCUUAUGCCGUUGAAUAUGUUAGCAUGGAAUAAUAAGAUAGGACCUCGGUACUAUUUUGUUGGUUUGCGCACCGAGGUAAUGAUUAAUAGGGACAGUUGGGGGUAUUCGUAUUUCAUUGUCAGAGGUGAAAUUCUUGGAUUUCUGAAAGACGAACUACUGCGAAAGCAUUUACCAAGGAUGUUUUCAUUAA